rnacentral:rRNA from 1 species
ACUCCUACGGGAGGCAGCAGUGGGAAUAUUGCACAAUGGCGCAAGCCUGAUGCAGCCAUGCCGCGUGUGUGAAGAAGGCCUUCGGGUUGUAAAGCACUUUCAGUCGUGAGGAAGGUAGUGUAGUUAAUAGCUGCAUUAUUUGACGUUAGCGACAGAAGAAGCACCGGCUAACUCCGUGCCAGCAGCCGCGGUAAUACGGAGGAUCCAAGCGUUAUCCGGAAUCAUUGGGUUUAAAGGGUCCGUAGGUGGAUGAUUAAGUCAGAGGUGAAAUCCUGCAGCUCAACUGUAGAAUUGCCUUUGAUACUGGUUGUCUUGAAUUAUUGUGAAGUAGUUAGAAUAUGUGGUGUAGCGGUGAAAUGCAUAGAUAUCACAUAGAAUACCGAUUGCGAAGGCAGAUUACUAACAAUACAUUGACACUGAUGGACGAAAGCGUGGGGAGCGAACAGGAUUAGAUACCCU